rnacentral:rRNA from 1 species
GGGUGAGUAACGCGUAAGAACCUGCCCUUGGGAGGGGAACAACAACUGGAAACGGUUGCUAAUACCCCGUAGGCUGAGGAGCAAAAGGAGAAAUCCGCCCAAGGAGGGGCUCGCGUCUGAUUAGCUAGUUGGUGAGGCAAUAGCUUACCAAGGCGAUGAUCAGUAGCUGGUCCGAGAGGAUGAUCAGCCACACUGGGACUGAGACACGGCCCAGACUCCUACGGGAGGCAGCAGUGGGGAAUUUUCCGCAAUGGGCGAAAGCCUGACGGAGCAAUGCCGCGUGGAGGUGGAAGGCCUACGGGUCGUCAACUUCUUUUCUCGGAGAARAAACAAUGACGGUAUCUGAGGAAUAAGCAUCGGCUAACUCUGUGCCAGCAGCCGCGGUAAU